ensembl:lncRNA
AGGUAGUCUAGUGGUUAGAGGAGCCAGGUAGUCUAGUGGUUAGAGGAGCCAGGUAGUCUAGUGGUUAGAGGAGCCAGUUAGUCUAGUGGUUAGAGGAGGCAGGUAGCCUAGUGGUUAGAGGAGGCAGGUAGCCUAGUGGUUAGAGGAGCCAGGUAGUCUAGUGGUUAGAGGAGCCAGGUAGUCUAGUGGUUAGAGGAGCCAGUUAGUCUAGUGGUUAGAGGAGGCAGGUAGCCUAGUGGUUAGAGGAGGCAGGUAGCCUAGUGGUUAGAGGAGGCAGGUAGCCUAGUGGUUAGAGGAGACAGGCAGCCUAGUGGUUAGAGUGUAGAGGAGACAGGUAGCCUAGCGGUUAGAGGAGACAGGUAGCCUAGCGGUUAGAGGAGGCAGGUAGCCUAGCGGUUAGAGGAGACAGGUAGCCUAGCGGUUAGAGGAGACAGGUAGCCUAGCGGUUAGAGGAGGCAGGUAGUCUAGCGGUUAGAGCGUUGGACCAGUAACCGAAAGGUUUGCUGGAUCGAAUCCCCCGAGCUGACAAGGUAACUAUCUUUCUGUCGUUCCGCCCCCUGAACAAGGCAGUUAACCCACUGUUCCCCUGAACAAGACAGUUAACCCACUGUCCCCCGAACAAGACAGUUAACCCACUUUUCCCCUGAACAAGGCAGUUAACCCACUGUUCCCCUGAACAAGGCAGUUAACCCACUGUUCCCCUAAACAAGGCAGUUAACCCACUGUUCCCCUGAACAAGGCAGUUAACCCACUGUUCCCCUGAACAAGGCAGUUAACCCACUGUUCCCCUGAACAAGGCAGUUAACCCACUGUUCCCCUGAACAAGGCAGUUAACCCACUGUUCCCCUGAACAAGGCAGUUAACCCACUGUUCCCCGGUUGGGACGUCAUUGUGAAUAAGAAUUUGUUCUUAACUGACUAGCCGAGUUAAAUAAAGAAUAUUUUUAAUAAUUAUCCCAUGCUGUGAGAGCGAAGAAUCCCCUGGUAGUAAGCCUAAUUCCUAGUAUUACUCCAUGCCAAGAGCUCAUAGACAUUGGCUGUCAAAAUCGUUUGUCUGUGUCGGCUGGCCUGGCAUGUUGGCUGGCCUGGCAUGUUGGCUGGCCUGGCAUGUUGGCUGGCCUGGUGUGCCUUCCUGCCUGCCUUCCUCUUAAUCCUAUUUUCAACAGGACUGAUCUUCUAAAGGCAGAUUUACUAUAACAGGGGUGUGGAUGCCUUAUUUACUAUAACAGGGGUGUGGAUGCCUUAUUUACUAUAACAGGAGUGUGGAUGCCUUAUUUACUAUAACAGGAGAGAUAGAUGCCUGAUUUACUAUAACAGGAGAGAUAGAUGCCUGAUUUACUAUAACAGGGGUGCUGGAUGCCCGAUUUACUACAACAGGACAGAUAGAUGCCUGAUUUACUAUAACAGGAGAGAUAGAUGCCUGAUUUACUAUAACAGGGGUGCUGGAUGCCUUAUUUACUAUAACAGGAGUGUGGAUGCCUUAUUUACUAUAACAGGGGUGUGGAUGCCUUAUUUACUAUAACAGGGGUGUGGAUGCCUUAUUUACUAUAACAGGGGUGUGGAUGCCUUAUUUACUAUAACAGGGGUGUGGAUGCCUUAUUUACUAUAACAGGGGUGUGGAUGCCUUAUUUACUAUAACAGGGGUGUGGAUGCCUUAUUUACUGUAACAGGGGUGCUGGAUGCCCGAUUUACUACAACAGGAGAGAUAGAUGCCUGAUUUACUAUACCAGGAGAGAUAGAUGCCUGAUUUACUAUAACAGGAGAGAUAGAUGCCUGAUUUACUAUAACAGGGGUGCUGGAUGCCUGAUUUAUUAUAACAGGAGAGAUAGAUGCCUGAUUUACUAUAACAGGAGAGAUAGAUGCCUGAUUUACUAUAACAGGGGUGCUGGAUGCCUGAUUUAUUAUAACAGGAGAGAUAGAUGCCUGAUUUACUAUAACAGGAGAGAUAGAUGCCUGAUUUACUAUAACAGGAGAGAUAGAUGCCUGAUUUACUAUAACAGGGGUGCUGGAUGCCUGAUUUACUAUAACAGGAGAGAUAGAUGCCUGAUUUGCUAUAACAGGAGAGAUAGAUGCCUGAUUUACUAUAACAGGAGAGAUAGAUGCCUGAUUUACUAUAACAGGAGAGAUAGAUGGAGUUAAACACUAUUAUUGAGUCCAUGCAACUUAUUAUGUGACUUGUUAGGCACAUUUUUACUCCCGAACUUAUUAAUUGUAUUAUUUGUAUUAAUGACCUGAGACCAGUACUAAUAUACACCUGACCUAAUAGGAGUCCAAUAGCAG